GGUCGAUUCGUCUAGGGGUUAGGACGUGAGAUUCUGAUUCUCAAGGCCUGGGUUCGAUUCCCAGAUUGACCU